rnacentral:lncRNA from 1 species
CCGCAUUUUUCGUAAAAUUGUGUCCUAUGCCGACGGCAUGCGCGCGAAACUCUCCCGCCAUGCUCGCCCACGUCUCCGCCGGCGGCUCCUUUUCUCUGGAUGACGAAACUACCCUCCUAAAUUUAAUUAUUCACUUUUUUAAAUAUUUCAAGAAAGUUAGAGAUAAAAAAAAAAGAAAGCAGCGAUUAGUGCCGUGGAUGGUGGGUAUUGCGGCCAAUCUUCUGUUGCACCUAUCAUCGAUGUAAGCUACUUGCAAAAUAAGUCCAGUGAUCGGAGUUGUGCCCGAUGGAGAUCCUCCGAUGCUUAAGUCAGUGGAGAGUAGUCGAACAGUAGAUAAUUUAGAAUGGUAGAAUCUAGCCCAGAAGUAUCUUACCAUCAUUAUUUUUUUAUCUUUCUUUUAUAGACAAAUUAUUGAUAACCAUCUGUAAUGGUUAAGCAUGUGGUCCCGUUUAUUCCGGCACCAUGUGAUUAUGGAGUGGACGGUCAGCGCCUAUUAAUGAUCAUGUAUGUAGCCGUUACGUGUCUUUUGCAUUGGUAGUUUCUGAUAUAUCGACUGUAUGUCGGUGAUCUAAAUGUGUCGACCGUAUGUCGAUAAUUUUGACAUGCUGAGUGACCAUCAUCGUUAAGAAAGUCGAUUGGGAGUUGCCGACAGUCAAUCGGCGUACAGAUUGAUAGUCAGUAGUCCGUAUCCAUUAGGUCGAUUGAAAGUCAGGUGAAAGAUCGUAGGUAUUGUAGUCGAAUCAGAACUCAUUUAGCAAUCCCACUUUGAUGGUCCAUCGUCAGUCGUCGACAUAUAGUCUGUUAACCGACUGUGAAUUGGAGGAAGCAUGUUC